rnacentral:rRNA from 1 species
GACGAACGCUGGCGGCGUGCUUAACACAUGCAAGUCGAACGGAAAGGCCCUGCUUGCCGGGUACUCGAGUGGCGAACGGGUGAGUAACACGUGGGUGAUCUGCCCUGCACUUCGGGAUAAGCCUGGGAAACUGGGUCUAAUACCGGAUAGGAGCCAUUUUUAGUGUGAUGGUUGGAAAGUUUUUUCGGUGUAGGAUGAGCUCGCGGCCUAUCAGCUUGUUGGUGGGGUAAUGGCCUACCAAGGCGGCGACGGGUAGCCGGCCUGAGAGGGUGGACGACCACAUUGGGACUGAGAUACGGCCCAGACUCCUACGGGAGGCAGCAGUGGGGAAUAUUGCACAAUGGGCGCAAGCCUGAUGCAGCGACGCCGCGUGGGGGAUGACGGCCUUCGGGUUGUAAACUCCUUUCGCUAGGGACGAAGCUUUUUGUGACGGUACCUAGAUAAGAAGCACCGGCUAACUACGUG